rnacentral:rRNA from 1 species
AGUGAACGCUGGCGGUAGGCCUAACACAUGCAAGUCGAACGGCAGCACAGUAAGAGCUUGCUCUUACGGGUGGCGAGUGGCGGACGGGUGAGGAAUACAUCGGAAUCUACUUUUUCGUGGGGGAUAACGUAGGGAAACUUACGCUAAUACCGCAUACGACCUACGGGUGAAAGCAGGGGAUCUUCGCACCUUGCGCGAUUGAAUGAGCCGAUGUCGGAUUAGCUAGUUGGCGGGGUAAAGGCCCACCAAGGCGACGAUCCGUAGCUGGUCUGAGAGGAUGAUCAGCCACACUGGAACUGAGACACGGUCCAGACUCCUACGGGAGGCAGCAGUGGGGAAUAUUGGGCAAUGGGCGCAAGCCUGAUCCAGCCAUACCGCGUGGGUGAAGAAGGCCUUCGGGUUGUAAAGCCCUGUUGUUGGGAAAGAAAAGCAGCAGGUUAAUACCCCGCUGUUCUGACGGUACCCAAAGAAUAAGCACCGGCUAACUUCGUG